UUGUUCAAAAGGCAAAGCGGUGCGAAAGCCCGUGGCGCAAAACUACAGGGUCUACGUCGGAAGCUCCAGGCCGAUAUGACAGCCAGAUGCCACA
rfam:Eubacterium limosum KIST612, complete genome.